rnacentral:rRNA from 1 species
UACAGAGGUCUCAAGCGUUGUUCGGAUUCAUUGGGCGUAAAGGGUGCGUAGGCGGCGCGGUAAGUCGGGUGUGAAAUCUUGGAGCUUAACUCCGAAACUGCAUUCGAUACUGCCGUGCUUGAGGACUGGAGAGGAGACUGGAAUUUACGGUGUAGCGGUGAAAUGCGUAGAUAUCGUGAAGGAAGACCAGUGGCGAAGGCGGGUCUCUGGACAGUUCCUGACGCUGAGGCACGAAGGCCAGGGUAGCAAACGGG